AAAAAAUAAAUAAAAAAGCAGAGAAAGAAAAAAUCAGCCAAAGUGAAAUAAAGUGGAAUUGUGCAUAAUCAGUGUUGGGGUAACGCAUUACAAGUAACGAGAGUUACGUAAUCAGAUUACUUUUUUGAGUAACUGCUACAGUAACACAUUACUUUAAAUUUACAACAAAAUAUCUGAGUUACUUUUUUAAAUAAGUAACGGAAGUACUUUGUUUUCCCAUUUAUAGUCUGACACCUCUCCUGUCCUCGUGUUGAAAGAAAUCGUGAGAAAGGUGCAUCCUAUUUUCUGCAAUCCAAAAUGGCAGCACAGCUAAAAAGUUUGUUUGAGCUGCGCCCUCUACCGUACAAGCGCAGAUUUGCAUUUCCUUCAGUGUUAAACUUAUUCAUUUCACUUUUGGUGUGAAAGAGCCUUUACAUUUGCCAAAAAUAGAACUCUUUUUUGUUGUUGUUGUUGUUAUUAAAAAACACAAGCAAGCCCAAUGAGAAAAAGUACCGAAAGUAGUGCAACACAUUACUUUCCAUAAAAAGUAACUAAGUAAUGCAAUUAGUUACUUUUUUAGGGAGUAACGCAAUAUUGUAACACAUUACUUUUAAGAGUAACUGGUUAUAAUCACAUUUUUAAAGAAAUAUAACAGAAAUCAAUUAAUAUCGUAGUUGUAAAUGUGAGCCUUUUGUGUUGCAGGUUGCAUCCUUUUGCUUGUAGUUCAACUGAGUUCAAUGCAAAGAGCUUCCUUACAAAAGUGCAACUGCUGCGUUAUCAAUUUAUCCCUUGAAUAUGCCCUAAGUGCUUUGUAAUGGAUACUGAAAGAGACCAGGGAGGAAGGAGAAAUCGGAGAUUGAUACAAUGAGCAACAUCAAUGAUGAUUUGUGGCUCAUUCACAUGAUGCCAAAUGCCAGACUGUGUUCAUUAGUGUCUUUAACAUUAAUACUAUUUUUAGGCUUUAUCAUCUAAUGGCUCUGGAACACGGCUUGGACAUUCUCCAUCUUGAAGUGGAUUCUCUGCAUGUGCUGACAUGUGAUAUCACAGUUAAUAUAACAGAAGCUGCAUCAAACCCUCUCAAAACCUUUUCUACAUCACAAAGAUGAAAUCCCUUAUCUGUAAUUGACUAAAUCUAGCUCUAAUAAUCACUUUAAUAACAUAAUCCUGAUUGGACAAGAGGAUUAGUCCAUGUCUGCGACGUUAAAUCUUGGGGUCUGUGAUCUCCUUAUGACAUGCUGAUUAGCUCCACUUACAUGUAAAUUAGAUUGUCCGUACACAUUACAUAUAUACACACAUUUACGCUACUGUUUAAAAGGUUGCAAUCUGUAAAUUUAUUUAUUUAUUUAUUGUAGAUGUGUGUUCUUUUCUUCCCUGUGCUUAAAGAUUCAGGAGGUGUUGGUUGGUUAUGAACACAGUUUGCUGAAGAUGUAGCUGGUAUGCCGUUUGUAUGACUCCCACACAGCAGUGAGAGAGCAUAGAUGGAGAUGGAUAAUAUGGAAGAUCCCAGCGGAGGCUCUAGCAGUCUGGAGGAGCUGCAAUCUGGCAAGAGGUGAGAAUAAGAGCGGCCCGUUCCACCCUCACUCCCACUGCUGCAGCGUUCAACACAGACACCUCAUCACCAUCAACAUAACUCACUGAAUCUCGCUUCACUAAAAGAUCCGUUUCCUACAUUGCCAAGAAAGGACAAAACAGUUCUGAAUUUUGCAUCCUUCUAAAUGUGAUGAUAAAGAGCCGACUGGGUUAAGAGUGCAUCCUCUGCGCUUUAUUCACAUCUCUCUCAAAAGGGAUGCGACAAACACUGCAAAAUAUUCAACUGCUCAUAUGUGGACUAUUCGGAUUCAAUUAAGAGCGCUGUGAUAAGGUCUGGCUUCCUGCUGCUCUAAUCUGAACGUCAGCAGAGCAGAACUUCUGCAGUCACGCUGAGUGCUUUUCUAGUCUGAGUGCAGUCAGGUUCUGCUCCCCACCUUCAUCCACUUCUAACUGUCACAGUAUUUUUCCUUCACUGCGUGUCGGCCCAGUCACAUCCAUCAAAAACUCAGUCUGGUUAGCGUUACAUCCCAGUGGACGUCCCACUGUGAGGUGCCGUGCUUGGCUGUCACUUACAGCAGGACUCUGGCACAUCUGUGUUACUGAUCACAGAUCUCUAAUGUGCUCCUGCUUACAGCUCAGGAAUGAUAUUUUAUGCUGUUUAUCUGCAGUUUCUUGUAUAGUGAAAAGUGUUUACUCUAUAUUUAUUGACUGGCGUGAAUUUACAACUGCAGCAUGGUAUUUCAUUGCAAAAUAUAACAUUUCAUUUAAUAUACAGUACUCUUCCAUUCAAAAGUUUGGGAUGAGAAAAACUUUUCAUGCUUUUGAAGGAAGAGUCUUAUGCUCACCAUGGCUACAUUUAUUUGAUCAAAAAUACAGUAAAACAGCAAUAUUGUGAACUAUUAUUACAAUUUAAAAUAACUUUUCUAUUUUAAUAUAUUUUAAAAGGUAAUUUAUUCCUUGACAAAGCUGAGUUUUCAGCAUCAUUACUCCAGUCUUCAGUGUCACAUGAUCCUUCGGAAAUCAUUUUGAUAUGAUGAUUUGCUGCUCAAGAAACAUUUCUUAUUAUUUUUACUUGGAAAUGGAUGUGCUGCUUAAUCAAGUGUGGAAGUUUUUUUUUUUUUUUUCAGGACACUUUCAUGAACAAUGUUUGGAAGAAUGGCAUUUAUUUGAAAUAGAAAACUUUUGUAACAUUAUAA